AACGAACGCUGGCGGCAUGCCUAACACAUGCAAGUCGAACGAGACCUUCGGGUCUAGUGGCGCACGGGUGCGUAACGCGUGGGAACCUGCCCUUAGGUUCGGAAUAACUCCCCGAAAGGGGUGCUAAUACCGGAUAAUGUCUUCGGACCAAAGAUUUAUCGCCUUUGGAUGGGCCCGCGUUGGAUUAGCUAGUUGGUAGGGUAAAAGCCUACCAAGGCGACGAUCCAUAGCUGGUCUGAGAGGAUGAUCAGCCACACUGGGACUGAGACACGGCCCAGACUCCUACGGGAGGCAGCAGUAGGGAAUAUUGGACAAGGGGCGAAAGCCUGAUCCAGCAAUGCCGCGUGAGUGAGGAAGGCCGUAGGGUUGUAAAGCUCUUUUAGCCGGGAUGAUAAUGACAGUACCGGGAGAAGAAGCACCGGCUAACUCCGUG
rnacentral:rRNA from 1 species